rnacentral:rRNA from 1 species
UGGGGGAUAUUGCACAAUGGGCGAAAGCCUGAUGCAGCGACGCCGCGUGGGGGAUGAAGGCUUUCGGGUUGUAAACCUCUUUCGCUAUCGAACAAGGCCCGCUUAGGGUGGGUUGAGGGUAGGUGGAGAAGAAGCGCCGGCUAACUACGUGCCAGCAGCCGCGGUAAUACGUAGGGCGCGAGCGUUGUCCGGAAUUAUUGGGCGUAAAGGGCUUGUAGGCGGCUUGUUGCGCCUGCUGUGAAAACGCGGGGCUUAACUUCGCGCGUGCAGUGGGUACGGGCAGGCUUGAGUGUGGUAGGGGUGACUGGAAUUCCAGGUGUAGCGGUGGAAUGCGCAGAUAUCUGGAGGAACACCGACGGCGAAGGCAGGUCACUGGGCCAUUACUGACGCUGAGGAGCGAAAGCAUGGGUAGCGAACAGG